rnacentral:misc_RNA from 1 species
GGAAGGAUCAUUACCGAGCGGAACGUGUCCGGGCCUGGGCCCGGGCUCAGUACCUCACCAACCGUGUCUACCUUAACUGUUGCUUCGGCGGGCCCGACUGACCGGGCCCGGUUGGUCACCGGGGGGCCCAGCGUCCCUCGGCCAGCGCCCGCCGAAGACCCUUGAAUACUUGUCUGAAGAUUUGCUGUCUGAGCGAUAGAGAAAUCGAAAUAAAACUUUCAACAACGGAUCUCUUGGUUCCGGCAUCGAUGAAGAACGCAGCGAAAUGCGAUAAGUAAUGUGAAUUGCAGAAUUCAGUGAAUCAUCGAAUCUUUGAACGCACAUUGCGCCCUCUGGUAUUCCGGGGGGCAUGUCUGUCCGAGCGUCAUUACUGCCCUCAAGCUCGGCUUGCGUGUUGGGCCGCGCCCCCUCCCACAUCGGGGGUGGGCGGGCCCGAAAGGCAGCGGCGGCGCCGUGCCCGGUUCUCGAGCGUAUGGGGCUUCGUCACCCGCUACGGAGACCUGGCCGGAAGCCAGCCGGCUCAACCACUCACAAUUUUACCGGUUGACCUCGGAUCAGACAGGGAUACCCGCUGAACUUAAGCAUAUCAAUAAGCGGAGGAAAAGAAACCAACAGGGAUUGCCCCAGUAACGGCGAGUGAAGCGGCAAGAGCUCAAAUUUGAAAUCCGACCCCUUCCGGGUCCGAGUUGUAAUUUGCAGAGGAUGCUUCGGGUCUGGCCCCGGUCUAAGUCCCCUGGAACGGGGCGUCAUGGAGGGUGAGAAUCCCGUAUGAGAUCGUGUGGCCGGUCCCGUGUGAAGCUCCUUCGACGAGUCGAGUUGUUUGGGAAUGCAGCUCCAAAUGGGUGGUAAAUUCCAUCUAAAGCUAAAUAUUGGCCGGAGACCGAUAGCGCACAAGUAGAGUGAUCGAAAGAUGAAAAGCACUUUGAAAAGAGAGUUAAACAGCAUGUGAAAUUGUUGAAAGGGAAACGCUUGCGACCAGACUCGGCCGCGGGGGCUCAGCCGGCAUUCUUGCCGGUGCACUCCCCCGCGGUCGGGCCAGCGUCGGUUCGGGCGGUUGAUCAAAGGCUCCCGGAAUGUGUCGCCCUUCGGGGCGUCUUAUAGCCGGGGGCGCAAUGCGGCCUGCCCGAACCGAGGAACGCGCUCAGGCACGGACGCUGGCGUAAUGGUCGUAAGCGACCCGUCUUGAAACACGGACCAAGGAGUCUAACAUCUACGCGAGUGUUCGGGUGUCAAACCCGUCCGCGCAGUGAAAGCGAACGGAGGUGGGAGCCCUCAAGGGUGCACCAUCGACCGAUCCUGAAGUCUUCGGAUGGAUUUGAGUAGGAGCGUAGCUGUUGGGACCCGAAAGAUGGUGAACUAUGCCUGAAUAGGGUGAAGCCAGAGGAAACUCUGGUGGAGGCUCGCAGCGGUUCUGACGUGCAAAUCGAUCGUCGAAUUUGGGUAUAGGGGCGAAAGACUAAUCGAACCAUCUGGUAGCUGGUUCCUGC